rnacentral:rRNA from 1 species
AGCGAACGCUAGCGGCGGGCUUAACACAUGCAAGUCGAGCGCCUUGCUUGCAAGGAGCGGCGGACGGGUGAGUAACACGUAGGUUACCUGCCCUCUGGUGGGGAAUAACCCAGGGAAACCCGGGCUAAUACCGCAUAUGGUCUACGGAUCAAAGCCUUCGGGCGCCAGAGGAUGGGCCUGCGGCCCAUUAUUUAAUCCUAGUUGGUAGGGUAACGGCCUACCAAGGGUACGAUGGGUAGCUGGUCUGAGAGGAUGAUCAGCCACACUGGGACUGAGACACGGCCCAG